rnacentral:piRNA from 1 species
UGUCAAAUUGCUUUAAAGUUAGUGGGU